rnacentral:rRNA from 1 species
AGCAGUCGCCGCGGUAAUACAGAGGGUGCGAGCGUUAAUCGGAUUUACUGGGCGUAAAGCGUGCGUAGGCGGCUUUUUAAGUCGGAUGUGAAAUCCCUGAGCUUAACUUAGGAAUUGCAUUCGAUACUGGGAAGCUAGAGUAUAAGAGAGGAUGGUAGAAUUCCAGGUGUAGCGGUGAAAUGCGUAGAGAUCUGGAGGAAUACCGAUGGCGAAGGCAGCCAUCUGGCCUAAUACUGACGCUGAGGUACGAAAGCGUGGGGAGCAAACAGGAUUAGAUACCCCGGUAGUCCCUGUCUCUUAUAC